UACGAAGGGUGCAAGCGUUAAUCGGAAUUACUGGGCGUAAAGGGUGCGUAGGUGGCGCGUUAAGUCAGUUGUGAAAUCCCCGGGCUCAACCCGGGAACUGCUUCUGAUACUGGCGUGCUUGAGGCCAGUAGGGGUCACUAGAACUGACGGUGGAGCGGUGAAAUGCGUAGAUAUCGUCAGGAAUGCCGGUGGUGAAGACGGGUGACUGGGCUGGUUCUGACACUGAGGCACGGAAAGCGUGGGGAGCGAACGGG
rnacentral:rRNA from 1 species